GGGGAUUUGGCUCAGUGGCAGAGCGCUUGCCUAGGAAGCAUAAGGCCCUGGGUUCGGUCCCCAGCUCCA
rnacentral:tRNA from 1 species